GGGUGAUGAAGAUCGCCCGUGCAGCGCCGGCUCCUUCCCCGGGGCGGGCGGGGGCACUCAGCCGCGGAGCGGCUCCGCGCCGGGGGGCAGCGGGGCGGGGGGCGGCCCAGCAACCAUGACCGGAGCGGCGAGACGCGGGCGGCCGUCCGGCCUCGGCUGCCUGGGCGGGCCCUCCGCCCCCGCCGGGCGCGUCCCCUCCCCUGCCCGGUCCCUCCUCCCGCAGCGGUCCGGGCGGGCGGGAGGAGCCGUCGAGCUCUGCCGGGUCCGUCCCGUCCCGUCCUUGCCCGUGGCCGGUCGGCUUCAGUCGUCCGCCUUCUUGCGCAGGUUGAGGAGGCAGAGCAGGCAGGCUGAGCACUACGAAAACUGGCCCCGACCCACCACACCAAGAGGAUACAUCCAUCAGGUUGACCAUGUUGCGGCAGGAGUCCAGGCUGAACCCAUCUGUUUUCAGAUCUUUGUCUGAGGAGAAAGAAGGAGGUUGAGCACAUGCAUCAAAACCCAACCUGCUGAGCAAGCCUGGGAUGCAGGGAGCAAGGGGUAGGAAGAGUAGGGCUUACGUCUAGAGAUGACUCUGUUCAGAAUAGUCCGAAGCUCAAAGACGCUGAUUUCCAUGUCCUGCAGCAGAAGCAGAGUUAGCAUCACCCCUUGCCUCCUCUCCAUCCCACUUGUGGCCAUUGUCUCCCUCCUGUCUAAACAUCUCUGCCUUAGUCACAAAACAUGAGGAUGCCAUUACAUUUCUUAUACACCCAGAAGAGUUUUGGUCGCAGCUGCAUGCUCUUCCCCAAAUCUGCCCGUGUCACACCAUGCCCUGAGCUGAGCCACAGCAAAGAUGGACUUGUCUGAAGGAUGGAACUGAGCGAGCAUGAGGCGGGAUGGAACUCCCACAGCCAGGGGUUCAGUCCUGUCCCCUCCCUGCCCCAGAGGGCCUCCCAGAGCUUGGCACAGCCGUACCCACCUCCCCUGCCAGCUGCUGGAACAUGCUCUUGAAGCUGUCCUCUAUGUCAUCCUCAGUUAUUUCUUCCUGGGGUGAUGCAAACCAGACAGAAGAGGUUAGGUCAAAGCAAGGCUCUGUCCUUCCUUCCAGGCUCAGUAAACACCAACUGGAAAGGAA